rnacentral:rRNA from 1 species
CUGAACGCUGGCGGCGUGGCUAAGACAUGCAAGUCGUACGGGUGUAGCAAUACACCAGUGGCGGACGGGUGAGUAAUGAAUCGCUAAUGUACCCUCCUGUCUGGGAUAGCCGGCCGAAAGGCCGGGUAAUACCAGAUGACAUAACCGAAUCGCAUGAUUUGGUUCUCAAAGGGAAACCGCAAGAGGAGCAGGCGAUUUCGUAUCAGCUAGUUGGUGAAGGGGGGGUAACGGCUCACCAAGGCGACGACGCGUAGCUGGUCUGAGAGGACGGCCAGCCACAUUGGGACUGAGACACUGCCCAGACUCCUACGGGGGGCUGCAGUAACGAAUCUUCCGCAAUGCACGCAAGUGUGACGGAGCGACGCCGCGUGGAGGUUAAGUCCUUCGGGAUGUAAACUCCUGUCAGGGGUUACCAAGUUCUGAGGAGCCCCAGAGGAAGGCACGGCUAACUCUGUGCCAGCAGCCGCGGUAAUACAGAGGUGCCAAGCGUUAGGCGGAAUCACUGGGCUUAAAGCGCGUGUAGGCGGGUCGUUAAGUGUCCGAGUGAAAUCCCACGGCUCAACCGUGGAACUGCCGGGCAUACUGGCGAUCUUGAGGCAUUCAGGGGCGAGCGGAACAAAUGGUGGAGCCGGUGAAAUGCGUAGAUAUCAUUUGGAACGCCAAUGGUGAAAACAGCUCGCUGGGAAUGAUCUGACGCUGAGACGCGAAAGCCAGGGGAGCGAACGGGAUUAGAUACCCCGGUAGUCCUGGCCCUAAACGAUGUCCACUAGAUCGUGGCACCUUGACGGUGUCAUGGUCGGAGCAAAAGUGUUAAGUGGACCGCCUGGGAAGUACGGUCGCAAGGCUAAAACUCAAAGGAAUUGACGGGGGCUCACACAAGCGGUGGAGCAUGUGGUUUAAUUCGAAGCAACGCGCGGAACCUUACCUGGGCUUGACAUGCCUGGAUUAUUCCCCAUGAAAGUGGGGUACAGCCCGCAAGGGCCGGAACAGGUACAGGUGCUGCAUGGCUGUCGUCAGCUCGUGUCGUGAGAUGUCGGGUUAAGUCCCUUAACGAGCGAAACCUUUGCCCUUAGUUACCAGCGGGUUAUGCCGGGGACUCUAAGGGGACUGCCGGUGUCAAACCGGAGGAAGGUGGAGAUGACGUCAAGUCCUCAUGGCCUUUAUGCCCAGGGCCACACACGUGCUACAAUGGGAUGCACAGAGCGAACCGAGGGCCGCGAGGCGGAGGAAAUCGCAUAAAUCAUCCCCCAGUUCAGAUCGGAGGCUGCAAACCCGCCUCCGUGAAGUUGGAAUCGCUAGUAAUCGCGUAUCAGCCACGACGCGGUGAAUGUGUUCCUGAGCCUUGUACACCACCGCCCGUCGAGUCAUGGGAGCCGGAAAUAGCCGAAGUAGCCUCGUCACAGGGGUUCCUACGCUAGGUUCGGUGACUGGGACU